GGGAUGGCCAUGCGGCGCAUUAGCAGUCGGCGGGGUAACGGCCCACCGAGGCGACGAUGCGUAGGGGUUCUGAGAGGAAGGUCCCCCACACUGGUACUGAGACACGGACCAGACUCCUACGGGAGGCAGCAG
rnacentral:rRNA from 1 species